UCCUUUAGCUGACCAGAGAUGAAAACAAAAUCUAUAAUGGCAGUGCUAGGUUUUAUAAAAAACGCGAGUGAGGAGUUGAAGGAUGUGGCUUGUUCUGUUUGGACGCUGCAGGAUUGCUUUAAGCAGUAAGCUUACUGUUUUCAGAUGGCAUUAGCAGCAUCAGUGAUAUAGCUGUGUCAGCCUCCUCGACUGCUGGAUGUCUGUAAUCGCACCGAGGAAACUAUAUUUAAGAUCUGAUAUCUUGAGGGUAAUGACUCCAGCACUUACUGAUGGACAGAAUGGCUGUUAAUGCUUUCUUCACUAGCCCAGAAGAUUUUGAAAGAUAGAUAGGUCUGUGAUGUACUUUGAUAAGACAGGAAAUGCAAUUUUUGGGGGUCUCUGGAAAUAGAAAGGUCAUGCAGCUUGGAACCGGUGAGACAUUACAGUCCCUAAGUCAUCAGAGAAAUGAUGAAGAGGCUGUUGUGGACAGAGGUGGAACUCGCUCCAUUCUCAAGACACAUUUUGAAAAGGAAGAUCUAGAAGGCCAUCGAACAUUGUUCAUUGGGGUUCAUGUGCCGCUGGGUGGAAGAAAAAGUCACCGACGCCAUCGGCACCGCGGGCAUAAACACAGAAAGAGAGACAGAGAGCGGGACUCAGGAUUAGAAGAUGGGAGAGAAUCUCCUCCUUUUGAUACCCCAUCACAAAGGGUGCAGUUUAUUCUUGGAACAGAAGAUGAUGAUGAGGAACACAUUCCUCAUGAUCUCUUCACUGAGCUUGAUGAGAUCUGCUGGCGUGAAGGAGAGGAUGCAGAGUGGAGAGAGACAGCAAGGUGGUUGAAGUUUGAAGAAGAUGUAGAGGAUGGUGGAGAGAGGUGGAGCAAGCCCUACGUUGCCACACUGUCACUUCAUAGCUUGUUUGAGCUGAGGAGCUGCAUCCUGAAUGGCACAGUUCUUCUGGACAUGAGAGCUAACUCCAUAGAAGAAAUUGCAGAUAUGAUUCUGGACCAGCAGGUGGGUUCUGGGCAGCUCAGUGAGGAUGUUCGUCACAGAGUGCAUGAGGCAUUGCUGAAACAGCAUCACCACCAGAACCAGAAGAAGCUGAGCAACAGGAUCCCAAUUGUAAGAUCCUUUGCUGACAUUGGAAAGAAGCAGUCUGAGCCCCAUUCCAUGGAUAAAAAUGCAGGUCAGGUUGUUUCCCCACAGGCUACUCCAGCCUGUAAUGAAAACAAAAAUGAUGUCAGCAGAGAAAACAGCACUGUUGACUUCAGCAAGGUUGACCUACACUUCAUGAAAAAGAUACCACCUGGAGCUGAAGCAUCAAACAUCUUGGUUGGUGAGCUUGAGUUCCUGGACCGCGCCGUGGUGGCUUUUGUCAGGUUGUCCCCUGCAGUGCUGCUCACAGGCCUGGCUGAAGUUCCCAUCCCAACCAGAUUUUUGUUCAUUCUUCUUGGACCACUGGGUAAAGGCCAACAAUACCAUGAGAUUGGAAGAUCAAUUGCAACACUAAUGACAGAUGAGGUAUUCCAUGAUGUUGCUUACAAAGCAAAGGACCGCAAUGACUUGGUGUCUGGAAUUGAUGAGUUUCUUGAUCAGGUUACUGUUCUCCCUCCUGGAGAGUGGGACCCAACAAUUCGAAUAGAACCACCUAAAAAUGUUCCCUCUCAGGAGAAGCGUAAGAUCCCAGGAGUGCCAAAUGGAACUGCAGCCCAUGGGGAAGCAGAACAUCCUGGGGGACACUCUGGACCAGAACUGCAGCGCACUGGAAAAUUUUUUGGAGGAUUAAUUUUAGAUAUCAAAAGAAAAGCUCCCUUCUUCUGGAGUGACUUCAGGGAUGCUCUCAGUCUGCAGUGUCUGGCAUCAUUUUUGUUUCUCUACUGUGCUUGCAUGUCUCCUGUCAUCACAUUUGGUGGUCUGCUGGGAGAAGCAACUGAAGGUCGUAUAAGUGCAAUAGAAUCACUGUUUGGAGCAUCCAUGACUGGAAUUGCCUACUCUCUUUUUGGUGGACAGCCUCUCACUAUUCUUGGCAGCACAGGACCAGUUUUAGUGUUUGAGAAGAUCUUAUUCAAAUUUUGCAAGGAGUAUGGGUUGUCAUACCUUUCUCUGAGAGCCAGCAUUGGGCUGUGGACUGCAAUCCUGUGCAUCAUCCUUGUUGCAACUGAUGCCAGCUCCCUAGUCUGCUACAUUACCCGGUUUACUGAAGAAGCCUUUGCUUCUCUUAUCUGCAUCAUUUUCAUUUAUGAGGCCUUAGAGAAGCUGUUUCAUCUCAGUGAGACAUAUCCAAUCAACAUGCAUAAUAAUCUGGAGCUGCUGACAAAGUACUCAUGCAAUUGUGUGGAACCAGAGCAUCCUAGCAAUAAAACCUUACAAUACUGGCAGGACUACAAUAUAUCUGCAUCUGAUGUGCCAUGGGGGAACCUAACUGUGUCAGAAUGUAAAAAGUUUCAUGGCGAGUUUGUUGGGCGAGCCUGUGGUCAUCAUGGCCCUUACGUUCCAGACGUCCUCUUCUGGUCUGUCAUCCUGUUCUUCUCCACAGUAACGCUCUCAUCCACCCUGAAACAGUUCAAAACCAGCCGGUACUUCCCUACUAAGGUACGCUCUGUUGUCAGCGACUUUGCUGUCUUUCUCACUAUUUUGUCCAUGGUUUUAAUUGACUAUGCCAUUGGAAUUCCAUCACCAAAACUUCAGGUUCCAAAUGCUUUUAAGCCCACCAGAGAUGACCGUGGCUGGUUUAUUACUCCUCUGGGGCCGAAUCCUUGGUGGACAGUGAUAGCUGCUGUAAUUCCAGCCCUGCUUUGUACUAUCCUUAUCUUUAUGGACCAGCAGAUCACAGCUGUCAUUAUCAAUAGAAAAGAACACAAACUAAAGAAAGGAUGUGGAUACCACCUCGACCUACUCAUGGUGGCAGUGAUGCUUGGUGUGUGCUCUAUUAUGGGAUUGCCAUGGUUUGUUGCAGCCACUGUCCUCUCCAUUUCCCAUGUGAACAGCUUAAAAUUGGAAUCAGAGUGCUCUGCUCCAGGGGAGCAGCCGAAAUUUCUUGGAAUCCGGGAGCAAAGAGUCACAGGACUCAUGAUUUUUAUCCUUAUGGGCUCAUCUGUCUUUUUGACAAGUAUUCUAAAGUUUAUUCCUAUGCCAGUGCUUUAUGGAGUGUUUCUUUACAUGGGUGCUUCAUCUCUAAAGGGAAUUCAGCUUUUUGACAGGAUAAAGUUAUUCUGGAUGCCUGCAAAGCACCAGCCAGAUUUUAUUUAUCUAAGGCAUGUUCCUCUUAGAAAGGUCCAUCUCUUCACUAUAAUUCAGCUGAGUUGUCUUGUACUUCUCUGGAUUAUAAAGGUUUCAAGAGCUGCCAUUGUCUUUCCUAUGAUGGUCCUAGCUUUAGUAUUUGUCCGAAAACUCAUGGAUUUCUUCUUUACCAAGCGGGAGCUCAGCUGGUUAGAUGAUCUGAUGCCUGAGAGCAAGAAAAAGAAACUGGAAGAUGCUGAGAAAGAGGAAGAGCAAAGUAUGUUAGCAAUGGAAGAGGAAGGGACUGUUCAGUUACCACUAGAAGGACAUUACAGAGAUGACCCAUCUGUGAUAAACAUUUCUGAUGAAAUGGCAAAAACUGCUGUGUGGAAGACAUUGUUGAUAUCCUCAGAGAAUGCAAAAGAUAAGGAGUCAAGCUUUCCUUCUAAAAGGCAUUAAAGCCCACAUCUGCAGGAGCUGCUCAGAGAUGUGAAUCCUAAAUAGAAGGAAGACUUUCCUGGUAUCACAGAGGCACCUAAAACGUGGAAAUAUUGUAGACUGUAAGGCACACAACACCUCAGUGUUUGCUUUUACUAAGCACAGUUAAGGAAUUAUUCCCAUGAAACCUGGUAGGUUAUGUGCUUGCUACAGUGCUGAAAUCAGAAAAGAGAAGAAAGCUGACUCAGGGAAAGGUGUUGACCGGGAAACUUGUCUAUGACUUGCUCUUCAAGUAAUUUUUUGCAAACGAAUUAAAGGAGUGCCACAACCACUAAAUAUAAAUUAUUUACCUUGUAACUUUUGUCUUUCAUCUCAAACUAGCACAGGUAAUGUAGUGCAAUACUUGUCUCAUUCCACCUUGUCUACCUUGUCUAGUAUCAAUGUAAAUGUCUGCAGUAGCCAAUGCAAAAAAUCUUUGUGUUCGUUGCUGAUCUUGGCCAUUUAUCAAUCAGUACUUGUAUCAGAAAUGUAAGAAGCAAAUUUUCUUUCAAAUUCAACUUUCCUCUUAAUAGGUUUGUACUGUAUUUUGCUACUUUUUCUGUGUGAGAAUACUUAAUAAUCUUGAUUCAAGAUGAACUUGAAAACCCUUGUUCCAAUUUUUUUUUUUUAAUCACCUAACUAGUAAAUGAUUUCAAGAGACCCAAAUUGAUGAGCGAACAUUAAGAAGUUUAUAAAAUAACAAGUGAUCUGACCCUGUGAACAAACUAACAAGGAUAAUACUUUCCUCCUUAAUCCGUCCAUUUGAAGUCAUGGAUUCAGUUUUGCAAUGUGAAUUGCAGGGUCAGAUUCUGUAUUUGUGAAGUUUUCCUUGAUUUAAUACAGUGUAUUUAAUAUUAAAAUUUGUAUGUAACUGGAACAUAGUCCUAUAUAUAUAUAAAUAUAUAUAUAUAUAUAAAAUUAUAUAUUAAAGCAUUUUCUCACCUUAGCUAAAGAACACCACCACAUCCUUUGAUGUGAAACAUGGGUACAGUAUUUCUUAAAAUGCGAUUUGUGAUUACGGUAUCUUAUCUUGUAUUGUAUGAAUGUUGCCAUGGUGGGCCAAACAAAUGCAUUUUGUCAUUAAUCAAUCCAUUACUUUAUAAUAGGGAAAUUUUUGUAGAUACAAACUAUAUCCCACAUGCAGUUUUAUCACCUGCCCAAUGAUCUUCCUUUUUAUUGCCUAAAAUUCAGCCACAUAAAGGACAUAUUAAUAUUGUCUUCUCUCCACUAACAACUGUAAACCUCUUAGUUUCAGAGAUUGUGUAUAAUAAUUAAAUGGGUAUCCUGCUGUUGUUUUGUUACAGCUCUUUAUUAUUCCAUCAAGUACAUACUGAUUAAAGGAUAAAAACAACAUUGCAAAGUAAAAUGUGGCUUUAAGGCUAUUACAUUUUUUGUAAUGGAUUUUGUUACUGCCUGAUCCUUCAAGCUGUUCUUUUGUGUAAAAGACUGCGAGAUUAGGUGUUGAAUGAAUAGGGAUGUAGAGCUGAAGUUUUAUUGUGUUAUUUGGAAUUCACUGAUUUUUAAAUUUUUUAAGAUAAAUUUUUAAAUUAUUAAAAUGAAAGCUAACUCUCAGUAUUAUGCUGUAACUUUGAAUCCUAAAAAAAAGAAUUGUAGUCUUGCAAUCUUCGUAAGAACUCAUCCAUAGGGCUCUAACAUUCCCCAGCUUUCCCAAAUAUGCAAAUUUUCUAUACACCUCAUGAACAAGUUUUCCCAUUCAGCACAUUUAAAGUAUUCCAAUGUUUUUGUGUGUGUGAGUGUGUAUGUUUUAAUACUUUAGCCAUAAAUAAUUGCAUUUUGCUGCAAACUUAAUAGGGUCACUGUUCUAAAUUUAUCUUAGCAUUAUCCAAGCCCAUUAAAAGCCAUUUUUAUGGAGAAAACAAAAAAAUCUAAUGGACGCAAAGAAGAAUUUACACCUAAUUCAAUGUUUUGUAUAUGUAAAUUUAGGAAAAAAAUGCUGAUGCAUUAAGGUUAAAUGCUUUGUUUUGUGUACUUGAUGAUAAAAUUGUAAGAUUCCAAUUGUUUUAAGGUUAGUAUAGAGGCUCAAUACUGGUUUGUCCUGAAAGCAGCCUGAUGGUGUUUUAACAUGUUGCUGACUUUGUUACAGAUAAUGUAUACAAUCAAAAUGUAUUAGCUUCACUUGACCAACUCUUAGAAUAUUAAGAAAUCAGUGUAUUCAAUGGCAUUCUGUAUUUCUGUUCAGUAUUUCAGAGUGGUUUUAUUUUAAAACACUCUGGUUUUGCGUGAAUUUAAGUGCUUUUCCAAUGUUAAUCUUAAUGUUCUGAAAUCACACACAAUGUAAAGCAGAUGUAGUGCUAUAUUUACUUCUAAUUUCAUAUUCCUGCUCAAAAUUACUCAACUUCUUGGAUGUAAUUUAUUACAAAAGUUUAUGUGUACAUGUGAAUAGACUAUUGUGUUUUUCACAAUUAAGAUAUGUUAUGUGAAAAUAAAUAUUUAUCCUAACUAA